AUUGAACGCUGGCGGCAGGCCUAACACAUGCAAGUCGAGCGAGCGGCGGACGGGUGAGGAAUGGAUGGGGACUGCACGAUAGAGGGGGAUAACUACUGGAAACGGUAGCUAAUACCGCAUACUAUCGGAUAACCCAUAUGGGAUUAGCUAGUAGGUGAGGCAAUGGCUCACAUAGGCGCCGAUCCCUAGCUGGUCUGAGAGGAUGAUCAGCCACACUGGGCCUUGGACACGGCCCAGAAUCCUACGGAGGCAGCAGUGGGGAAUAUUGCACAAUGGCCGCAAGCCUGAUGCAGCCAGGCCGCGUGUAGGAAGAAGGCCCUAGGGUUGUAAAGUCCUUUCAUUCGGGAGGCGUUACCGACAGAAGAAGCACCGGCUAACUCCGUGCCAGCAGCCGCGGUAAUUC
rnacentral:rRNA from 1 species